AUACAAACUUGUAAUGGUGUGCUUCAAACAAAUGCUAGACCCUUUCACCUUUGUUGUAUAUAACAAAGCUGUUAAAUAUGUGGUUUGAAUUAACUUUGAACAUGUUGAAAUAUGUAGCAUGUGUUUUUAACUCAGACGAAGAUUCUAAUUGCACAGGUUGUGUUCUAGCCAGUUGUGGUUUAUUUGUUCAGAAACACAAAUGUGAAUUGCACUCUUAUCACCAGAAUAUUGUAUAAGUUCAGCGAUCUCUAAAC
rnacentral:lncRNA from 1 species